GAGAGCAAAAUGGAGUCACAGAAGCAGGUCCUCAUGUCCCUGAUGCUCUGGGUGUCUGGUGCCUGUGCAGACAUCGUGAUGACCCAGUCUCCAUCCUCCCUGGCUGUGUCAGCAGGAGAGAAGGUCACCAUCAGCUGCAAGUCCAGUCAAAGUCUUUUAGACCAUAAAAACAACCGCUUAUCCUGGUACCAGCAGAAACCUGGGCAAUCUACUAAACUGCUGAUCUACUUAGCAUCCACUUGGGACACUGGGGUCCCUGAUCGCUUCACAGGCAGCGGGUCUGGGACAGACUUCACUCUCACCAUCAGCAGUGUCCAGGCUGAAGACCUGGCAGAUUACUACUGUCUUCAGGUUUAUAGUACUCCUCCCACAGUGCUUCAGCCUCCAACAAAAACCUCCUCUGAGAGUCUCACCAGCUGCCUGCCCCACACAGCCCUGGACCUGCACACUUCCACUUCCCCCUUUUGGCUGAGAGCCAGUGAGCCUGAAACAUUGAUGAAAAUAUUUGCAGACCCAGCAAAAUAUAAUGGGUUUAAUGUCACUUGUGUCUUUUUAUAUGAAAAACCUUCAUAA